AUUCAAAUAGCUUAUAUAAAGUAUCACAUUGAAGCUGUGGGGAAGAUUAUUUUAUCUUUGAAUA
rnacentral:tRNA from 1 species